CUUUGAGCCGUUGUAGAACAUUGAGAGAUGUUGAUGGGCCUUUUUAAAACUUUUACAUUGGGCUUUACUUCUUUCACCCAGACCCAGUCAGCUAAAGGCCCAAUAAUUUCUUUUUUAUUUGGAAACGAACUAACUUACAGAACUCGAACUAGGUUUAGGGCACACUGUUCAUCAUUCAAACAUUCUUUGAGAAUCAGAGAGAAAUCGCUGCAAAUCUACUAAGCUCCCCUCUUUACAGGCAGGAAUAUUCUCAUUCAUAGGUUCGAGAUCUACGUCUAUGAAAGGUCCGAAUGAUCAACAAUGCAAUCAGUUGUUACUAUAAAAUUCUCCUCUAGUACCAUUUAAUUCUACAAUUGUGUGUUAUAUACUACUUAAACACCGACGCAAUGAUAAAACCCAUAAAAAUAGUUGUAUUCUUACUUAUGGGUCCGUGUUUUAUAAUCUCUGUGUUUUUCGGAUGCUAGCAGUAUCAUGAAUGAAGUUGUCUGCACUAUGUAGGUGCUUCUUGCAAUGAUUAAAGAUUAGGGUAGAGAAAAAAGAUUAACGAUGAGGGUAAUUUUGUUGAUUAACAGGGUUGAUAUUUUGUAAAUUAAUUAAAUUAAAUAAUCAGAGAUAAAUAUGACAUUUCUUGGAAAGUGGUUUUGCGGAUACCUAUCUUGAGCUUCUCAUCAAACGCAUGCCUCAAGUUCUUUCUGCAAAUCUUGAGCGUUCCAUCAUACCCAAAUUCAAGUUUUUUCAAGACUUGAGUUUUUCUUCUAGCGACGUUGUGAAAAUUGUUUUGAAUAACCCAUCGAUUCUACUUUAUAGCGUUGUGAAUCGGCUUGGCCCAUCGAUUUUAGGAUUGAAGGGUGUUUUGGGUUCAAAUAUGGAUGAUGUGUCUAGGGUUUAAAAGAAAAAUGGGAGGAUUUUGAGGUAUGAUUUUGUGAAAACUGUGAUACCCAAUAUUGAAUUGAUGAAGAGUUGUGGCAUUAAUUCGUCGCAAAUAACUCAAUAUGUCUGUAAUUACCCAACUGUUUUCAUUCUUAAAUUGACGAGAAUUAGAGAAUUUGUCAAGAUGAUUGAUGAUAUGAGCAAUUGACAGGAAGUGUAAGAUGUUUUUUCACGCGGUUCAGGUUCUUAGUUUUAUGAGUAAAGAGAAUUGGGAGUUGAAAUUGAGAGAAAUUAUUAGAUGGUCCUGGUCUAUUUGACAUUUGGUGGACUAAUUCAAUAAAGACCUUUCGAUCAUGAAAUUUAGUAAUUUAUUAUUACACUCUUGUGGGACAUUUUCUCUAUCUAAGAGUCUGUAUUUAGAGGUGUUUAAGAGUUUGGGGUUUUCGAAAGAUGAUAUUUUGUCAAUUUUUAGGAGAGUGCCUAUUGUUUUCCUGGAGUCAGAGAGGAAAAUUAAGGCUAUAACACAGCUUUUCCUUAGCACGGACAAAUAUGAUAUAUCAUUUGUUAUUAGUAACCCAGAUUUACUUACUCUCAGUGUUGAAAAUAGGCUUAAACAGCGGCUAAGAGUUAUGGAGGUUUUGGAAAGGAAGAAUUUGCUUCUUAAAAAGCGGAGUUUGUCGUAUGUAUGCAAGAUGAAUGAUAAGAAUUUCUUUGAGAACUAUGUACUCCCUUAUUCAGAUGAAGUUGGCGAAUUAUUCAAGGUUAACAAGGGGGAGCAAUAGUGUGUGUAUUUUAUCUACCAAAAAGAAGAACAGUUGUUAUGGUGAGGCGUUGCGUAUCAAAUCUAGUUGCUAUUCUGAAUUUUGUUUUGUACCUUUCUUAUCAUGUUUAUAGAAAGAAAGGGAGAGCGGAAUUAUUAUUAUUAUUUUUUUAAUUCUCUUGUUUGGGGAGUCUAUGAUUCUGUUAAUGAAAUUCUAUUUCUGUUUUA